rnacentral:rRNA from 1 species
AUUAUAGAGUUUGAUCCUGGCUCAGGAUGAACGCUGGCGGCGUGCCUAAUACAUGCAUGUCGAGCGAACAGAUAAGGAGCUUGCUCCUUUGACGUUAGCGGCGGACGGGUGAGUAACACGUGGGUAACCUACCUAUAAGACUGGGAUAACUUCGGGAAACCGGAGCUAAUACCGGAUAACAUUUGGAACCGCAUGGUUCUAAAGUGAAAGAUGGUUUUGCUAUCACUUAUAGAUGGACCCGCGCCGUAUUAGCUAGUUGGUAAGGUAACGGCUUACCAAGGCGACGAUACGUAGCCGACCUGAGAGGGUGAUCGGCCACACUGGAACUGAGACACGGUCCAGACUCCUACGGGAGGCAGCAGUAGGGAAUCUUCCGCAAUGGGCGAAAGCCUGACGGAGCAACGCCGCGUGAGUGAUGAAGGGUUUCGGCUCGUAAAACUCUGUUAUUAGGGAAGAACAAAUGUGUAAGUAACUGUGCACGUCUUGACGUACCUAAUCAGAAAGCCACGGCUAACUAA